AUUUUGUGAAUAUGGCAGAGCGAUGGGAGGUGAGUAUGGCAUGGCUGAGUGACAGGAUUGGGGGAGUUAUUGUGAGUGUGGCAGGGUGAAGGUGGUGACAGUGUGUGUGUGUGUGUGAAGUGGGGUGACAGUUACACAGACACACAGGUGCCUACACUGACACACUUGCAGAUAUACAAACAAACACACUCACACACAUACAGAUACACACCAUAUAACACACACAGAUACAUACACUGACAGAGAUGCUAAUACACAUAGAUACACAUAUAAACACACAGACACACAUGCAGAU